rnacentral:rRNA from 1 species
UACGAAGGGGGCGAGCGUUGUUCGGAAUUACUGGGCGUAAAGGGCGCGUAGGCGGCCCUCUUUGUCGCGUGUGAAAGCCCCGGGCUCAACCUGGGAACGGCGCGCGAAACGGGGGGGCUGGAGUUCGGGAGAGGAGCGUGGAAUUCCCAGUGUAGAGGUGAAAUUCGUAGAUAUUGGGAAGAACACCGGUGGCGAAGGCGGCGCUCUGGACCGAGACUGACGCUGAGGCGCGGAAAGCGUGGGGAGCAAACAGG